UUUGUGUGGGUCUAGAGAUAGUUGUAUUUUUGUAUCUAACUCUGAAGUUGAUUUUGCUUAACACAGUGAAUUGUAAGGGCUUCAAUUGAUUUUUCCAUCCAGGAACCACCAAAUAGACUUGGAAUUUUGUGUUCUUGUGAUCUCCAGUUGGACACAUUUCUUAAUGGGUUUUAACAAAUUCCAUUUCUUGGGUGGAAGUUUAGUUAAACUGAGAAGUAGCCUACCAGAUUUCCCCCUAGAUUAUGGUGGGAUGGUUUGUUCUCAUGCCCUCUUGUUCUGGUGUCGCCUUUAGGUUGCUCAAGUGUCUCUUUCUUUGGAAUAUGCUUCUGUAGCUUUGUCUUUUAUGCUGAUAUUUAUUCUUUGUAAAUUCAUUUGCCAAAAGAAAGAUAACAUCUGAAGUAGAUUUUGAAAGAUGAUGAAUUAAUUGG
rnacentral:misc_RNA from 1 species